rnacentral:rRNA from 1 species
UACGGGGGGGGCAAGCGUUGUUCGGAAUUACUGGGCGUAAAGGGCUCGUAGGUGGCCAACUAAGUCAGACGUGAAAUCCCUCAGCUUAACUGGGGAACUGCGUCUGAUACUGGAUGGCUUGAGUUUGGGAGAGGGAUGCGGAAUUCCAGGUGUAGCGGUGAAAUGCGUAGAUAUCUGGAGGAACACCGGUGGCGAAGGCGGCAUCCUGGACCAAUACUGACGCUCAUGCACGAAAGCGUGGGGAGCAAACAGG